rnacentral:rRNA from 1 species
AUACGUAGGGGGCGAGCGUUGUCCGGAAUGAUUGGGCGUAAAGGGCGCGUAGGCGGCCCGGUAAGUCUGGAGUGAAAGUCCUGUUUUUAAGAUGGGAAUUGCUUUGGAUACUGUCGGGCUUGAGUGCAGGAGAGGUGAGUGGAAUUCCCAGUGUAGCGGUGAAAUGCGUAGAGAUUGGGAGGAACACCAGUGGCGAAGGCGACUUACUGGACUGUAACUGACGCUGAGGCGCGAAAGUGUGGGGAGCAAACAGGAUUAGAUACCCUGGUAGUCCACACUGUAAACGAUGAAUGCUAGGUGUAGGGGGUAUCGACCCCUUCUGUGCCGCAGUCAACACAAUAAGCAUUCCGCCUGGGGAGUACGGCCGCAAGGUUGAAACUCAAAUGAAUUGGCGGGG